CCUACGGGGUGCAGCAGUGAGGAAUAUUGGUCAAUGGACGAGAGUCUGAACCAGCCAAGUAGCGUGAAGGAUGACUGCCCUAUGGGUUGUAAACUUCUUUUAUAUGGGAAUAAAAUGUUCCACGUGUGGGAUUUUGUAUGUACCAUAUGAAUAAGGAUCGGCUAACUCCGUGCCAGCAGCCGCGGUAAUACGGAGGAUCCGAGCGUUAUCCGGAUUUAUUGGGUUUAAAGGGAGCGUAGGUGGAUUGUUAAGUCAGUUGUGAAAGUUUGCGGCUCAACCGUAAAAUUGCAGUUGAAACUGGGAGUCUUGAGUACAGGAGAGGUGGGCGGAAUUCGGGGUGUAGCGGUGAAAUGCUUAGAUAUCACGAAGAACUCCGAUUGCGAAGGCAGCUCACUGGACUGCAACUGACACUGAGGCUCGAAAGUGUGGGUAUCAAACAGGAUUAGAUACCCGUGUAGUC
rnacentral:rRNA from 1 species